UUUUUCCUUUAAAAAAUACUUAUCUCUGCCCAAGGCUAAUGGAUCAUGUUGUAGGGCCCCUUUUCAUUUUCAAAUAAUCAUUAUCAGUGAAUAAAAUACAUUUUAUUAAAUUCUUAUUAUUCAUUUGUUUGCGUUCUUUUCAGAAAAUGGCAAUAUUUUCAACAAAAAAAAAACUUGUUUCCAUUUGUGCAUCUUUUAUUUUUACUUUUCUAAAAAAAAAUCAUUCUAACAUGCAGAAUAACUGAUAAAUCCAUUGAAUCUAAU
rnacentral:lncRNA from 1 species